UUUAAAGUAAUUAUAUAAAAGUAUAAUUAGUUUACGUCUAAUUGGAAGAAAAUUAUUUUUCUCUUUAAAU
rnacentral:tRNA from 1 species